rnacentral:rRNA from 1 species
GUCGAACGAACUCUGGUAUUGAUUGGUGCUUGCAUCAUGAUUUACAUUUGAGUGAGUGGCGAACUGGUGAGUAACACGUGGGAAACCUGCCCAGAAGCGGGGGAUAACACCUGGAAACAGAUGCUAAUACCGCAUAACAACUUGGACCGCAUGGUCCGAGCUUGAAAGAUGGCUUCGGCUAUCACUUUUGGAUGGUCCCGCGGCGUAUUAGCUAGAUGGUGGGGUAACGGCUCACCAUGGCAAUGAUACGUAGCCGACCUGAGAGGGUAAUCGGCCACAUUGGGACUGAGACACGGCCCAAACUCCUACGGGAGGCAGCAGUAGGGAAUCUUCCACAAUGGACGAAAGUCUGAUGGAGCAACGCCGCGUGAGUGAAGAAGGGUUUCGGCUCGUAAAACUCUGUUGUUAAAGAAGAACAUAUCUGAGAGUAACUGUUCAGGUAUUGACGGUAUUUAACCAGAAAGCCACGGCUAACUACGUGCCAGCAGCCGCGGUAAUACGUAGGUGGCAAGCGUUGUCCGGAUUUAUUGGGCGUAAAGCGAGCGCAGGCGGUUUUUUAAGUCUGAUGUGAAAGCCUUCGGCUCAACCGAAGAAGUGCAUCGGAAACUGGGAAACUUGAGUGCAGAAGAGGACAGUGGAACUCCAUGUGUAGCGGUGAAAUGCGUAGAUAUAUGGAAGAACACCAGUGGCGAAGGCGGCUGUCUGGUCUGUAACUGACGCUGAGGCUCGAAAGUAUGGGUAGCAAACAGGAUUAGAUACCCUGGUAGUCCAUACCGUAAACGAUGAAUGCUAAGUGUUGGAGGGUUUCCGCUCUUCAGUGCUGCAGCUAACGCAUUAAGCAUUCCGCCUGGGGAGUACGGCCGCAAGGCUGAAACUCAAAGGAAUUGACGGGGGCCCGCACAAGCGGUGGAGCAUGUGGUUUAAUUCGAAGCUACGCGAAGAACCUUACCAGGUCUUGACAUACUAUGCAAAUCUAAGAGAUUAGACGUUCCCUUCGGGGACAUGGAUACAGGUGGGUGCAUGGUUGUCGUCAGCUCGUGUCGUGAGAUGUUGGGUUAAGUCCCGCAACGAGCGCAACCCUUAUUAUCAGUUGCCAGCAUUAAGUUGGGCACUCUGGUGAGACUGCCGGUGACAAACCGGAAGGAAGG